rnacentral:tRNA from 1 species
CGGGAUGUAGCGCAGCUUGGUAGCGCAUCUGCUUUGGGAGCAGAAUGUCGCAGGUUCAAAUCCUGUCAUCCCGA